GAGCUCCUCACCAGUGCAGCAGCUCCCAGAGGCUGCUUGCUAUAGGGCACCUUGAUAGGGGGCAGCUUGGUGACUGCUGCUACUAGGAAGUUCAUUAGGACGUCUACACAGCCCUGAUCCCGGCUCUGGCUGCCUCAGAGAGCGCCCACUCCUGGUAUGAGCCCCUCUCAAUGUGCGCUGCCCGUGGUGAGUCUGCCUGCAAUAGUGUGAGCCUGUCCUCUCCCUCAGCUUGGUGCCCACAGCCUGGGCUUGAGGUCUGAGAUAAGGCAGAGCCAGAUAUGGGGAGGGGAUGGAUCAGCUGGUUCCCAAACCAUCAAGCAUGGCACCCAAAGACCAGCUUCAGGAAGGAUUAACCACGCUGAUGCUGCGCUGAGUGUCACUUGCUUCCCACCACACCUUGGCCCCCCAACAGGACAAGCUGGGUCCACCCUGCAGACACAGGCUUCCUCUUCACUCUACUGAGAAUUCCCGGCAGAGCUCCAGGAUAAAUCUGCAGAAGGUCCCACGUUACUCAGAUUUGGUUUAAAUGUGUUUAAGGGGCCCUCCAGAAUCUAGAUCCUGCCCCAAGACUGGCACAUCAGGCAGAUUCCUGAAAGCCUGGGAUGGUUCUACUUAACAUUAGAUAUUGUUGAGAUCUGUGUCCAGGGAUGGGAUGGUCAUACCACCUCUGUGACAUGUAAACUCUCACGUUACAGAUGAGGAAACAGACUCAAGAGAAGCGGGGAGACUUGUCCAGGGUCUCAUAACUGGCAGAUCUGGGCCUUGAGCUCUAGGCCACCCUACUGCUGGUUCAGUGAGGAGUCUCUGGUCCUCUGAUCCCUGUGCCAGGGCCUGUGUCUGUACCUGUGGUAGAAGGCAGCUGUGCUGAGAACCAUGGAGAACUCGUUGGCCAUCUCAGCAGUGUAGCCCCAGCCACCCCUGGCCUCGUCCCAGAAGUGGCUGCACGUCAGAAAACCCACCAUCCGCUCUGGGAAGCUCUGCCACACCGAAAAGGCAAAGUCCACCUGGAGAGGGAUUUAAGUGAGCUCUGAGGAAGGACUUCCUGACCAACUUGGGACAUCCUCACAUCCUAUAGAGGCAAGGCCGGUCUGGCUGAGGGGCUGGGACAGGGCUCUGGGGAGAGGGGAUGGGAGCCAUUACUUCAAGUUGACAAGAAGUAUAGCAUUAACAUUUCCAGGGAAUUCCUAGGGGAACUUUCUCAUAAGGGAGCCACAAAGGCAAUGUUUUGAAGAGUCUGCGGAAGCUUCUGUUGGAUUUUUAAAGAAGAGGUUGCUGGCUUGUUCCAUUGGUUUCCAGAAUAAAAGUCUGCCCCUUAGGACC